CCUACGGGAGGCAGCAGGGAGGAAUAUUGGUCAAUGGACGAGAGUCUGAACCAGCCAAGUAGCGUGAAGGAUGACUGCCCUAUGGGUUGUAAACUUCUUUUAUAUGGGAAUAAAACGUUCCACGUGUGGGAUUUUGUAUGUACCAUAUGAAUAAGGAUCGGCUAACUCCGUGCCAGCAGCCGCGGUAAUACGGAGGAUCCGAGCGUUAUCCGGAUUUAUUGGGUUUAAAGGGAGCGUAGGUGGAUUGUUAAGUCAGUUGUGAAAGUUUGCGGCUCAACCGUAAAAUUGCAGUUGAAACUGGCAGUCUUGAGUACAGUAGAGGUGGGCGGAAUUCGUGGUGUAGCGGUGAAAUGCUUAGAUAUCACGAAGAACUCCGAUUGCGAAGGCAGUUCACUGGACUGCAACUGACACUGAGGCUCGAAAGUGUGGGUAUCAAACAGGAUGAGAUACCCCAGUAGUC
rnacentral:rRNA from 1 species